UUAAAAUAAAUUUAUUUAUUUUUUAUAAAAAAAUAAUUUAUGUUUUAGUAUUUUUUAAAGAAAAAAUAAUUUUUAUAAUAGAUAAAAGUAUUGAAAAAGAAAAUUGCAAUAAUUGAAAAUUAAUUAUUAAAAAAGAAAAUUUAAAUUAUUGUACCUUUUGUAUCAGGGAUUAUUAAAUAGUUAAUAUUUAUUAUAUUAAUUUCGAAAUAAAAAGAUUUAAUUUAAUAAUAAUUUUUAUUGUUUUAAAAUUAUGUUAAAUAUUAAAUUAGAAUUUAAAAGUUAUUCGGUUUUUAUUAUAUCUAAUUUUUUAAGAAAUAAAUUAAAUUUAGUUUAUAUUUUUUAUUAUAUUUAUUGUUUAAUAUUAAAUAAUAAUAAAAUAUGGAUAAUGUGUUAAGGGAUAAGCUUUAGUAUAAUUUUAUAAAAAUUUAUAGAUAAGAUGAAUUUGUAUAUUCUUAGAAAUAGAAAAUAUAAUUUAGUAUGUUAUAAUUUAAUGUUAAAUUAAUAAUUAUUUAUUGUAUUUUUAAUAAUUUAUUAAAAUAUUUAAUUUAAUAAUAGAAUUAAAGGAAUAAUGAUAAUAUUAGUAUAUAAAUAUGUAAAAAUAAUUAUAAAAGUAAAUUAAGUAUAAGGAAUUCGGCAAAUUUAAUGUUCGCCUGUUUAUUAAAAACAUGUCUUUUAGGAGUUAAUUUAAGGUUUAAUCUGCCCACUGAUUAGUUAAAGGGCCGCAGUAUAUUAACUGUGCAAAGGUAGCAUAAUCAUUAGUUUUUUAAUUGGAAGCUAGAAUGAAUGAUUGGACGAAAUAUUUACUGUCUUAUAUUUAUUUAAUUAGAAUUUUAUAUUUUAAUUAAAAAGUUAAAAUAUAUUUAAAAGACGAGAAGACCCUAUAGAUUUUUAUAUAAAUUUUAUUUUAUAAAUAUAGGAUAAAUUGAUUUUUAAAUAUUAUUUAUAUUAUAUUGGGGUAAUAAUAAAAUUUAUAGAAUUUUUAUUUUUUAUAAACAAUUUUGAUUGAUUGAUUGAUCCAUUAUUAAUGAUUAUAAGUUUAAGUUACCUUAGGGAUAACAGCGUAAUGAUUUUUGAGAGUUCUUAUCGAUAAAAUAGAUUGCGACCUCGAUGUUGAAUUAAAAUAUAUUUUAGAUGUAGGUGUUUAAAUUAUAAAGUCUGUUCGACUUUUAAUAUUUUACAUGAUUUGAGUUUAGACCGGCGGGAGCCAGGUCAGUUUCUAUCUUUAAAUAAUGGGUAUAUUUUAGUACGAAAGGAUUAAAUAUAUAAUAAAUUUUAUUUGAUUAUGUUAAUAAUUAUAAGGGGAU
rnacentral:rRNA from 1 species